GGCGUUAAGUUGCAGGGUAUAGACCCGAAACCCGGUGAUCUAGCCAUGGGCAGGUUGAAGGUUGGGUAACACUAACUGGAGGACCGAACCGACUAAUGUUGAAAAAUUAGCGGAUGACCUGUGGCUGGGGGUGAAAGGCCAAUCAAACCGGGAGAUAGCUGGUUCUCCCCGAAAGCUAUUUAGGUAGCGCCUCGUGAAUUCAUCUCCGGGGGUAGAGCACUGUUUCGGCUAGGGGGCCAUCCCGGCUUACCAACCCGAUGCAAACUGCGAAUACCGGAGAAUGUUAUCACGGGAGACACACGGCGGGUGCUAACGUCCGUCGUGAAGAGGGAAACAACCCAGACCGCCAGCUAAGGUCCCAAAGUCAUGGUUAAGUGGGAAACGAUGUGGGAAGGCCCAGACAGCCAGGAUGUUGGCUUAGAAGCAGCCAUCAUUUAAAGAAAGCGUAAUAGCUCACUGGUCGAGUCGGCCUGCGCGGAAGAUGU
rnacentral:rRNA from 1 species